UGAGUUCAAUGAUGAAUAACAUAUCCUUACCUACAUUAUCUGAAUUUGCUGAAGAAGAGCACCAAUAAAAACUGAGAACUCA